rnacentral:misc_RNA from 1 species
ACAAACUUGGUCAUUUAGAGGAAGUAAAAGUCGUAACAAGGUUUCCGUAGGUGAACCUGCGGAAGGAUCAUCAAAGAAAAAAAUAAGUGAAAAAAAAUAAAAUUUAUUUUUUUUCACAUUAUUAUUAAUUUUUCUUUUUUUCUUCUUUUCUUUCCUCUGCCUCGUUUUUGAAUUAAAAUGAAGUUGAGGAAGAAAAAAGAAAAAAGAAGAUAACUUGUUAAUUUUUCUCUCUUUUUUGUCUUGUGGUGUAUGAUGGGAGGAAAGAAGAAACAUUUCUUCUUCUUCUUUUAAAUUACCCAAGACCUCUUUCCCCUUAAUGUAUUGUGCAUUAAGGGGAAUGUCAUUAACUUUCAAAUGAGAAUUUUCCUUGUCUGAAAAAAUAAUUUAUUAUAUAAAAAAAAAUAACAACUUUUAACAAUGGAUCUCUUGGUUCUCGCAUCGAUGAAGAACGCAGC